UGUGAAUAAAGAAAAGAGAGUGGAACAGGUACGGCGAUGGAUUGAGAGUGGCGAAACAUUUCAUGAUGUCAUUUUCACAGAUGAAUCGUCUGUUGCCCUUGAGCGGUUCUCCAGAAUCUCAUUCCGGAAACGUAACCAUAUCUCAUUAAAACCACGCCCAAAGCAUCCAUUGAAAGUCCAUGUAUGGGGAGGCAUAACACGAUUAGGAGCUGGUCCCCUAUUAUUUUUCGAAGGGAUCAUGGAUAAGAAAUUUUUCCAAGAAACAAUAGUAGAGGGAUGUAUGGUGCCAUUUGUGAAUAAAUAUUACCCAACUCACCAUAGGAUAUUCCAAGACAAUGAUCCUAAACACUCCGCCUCUGCCAAAUUUAUGGAAGAGAAAGGUAUGAAUUGGGAACGCACACCACCAGAAUCACCAGACAUGAAUCCAAUUGAAUUAGUGUGGGCUCAAUUGAAGAGGUACAUUAGGAGUGUUGCGAAGCCAACAACAAAACAGCAGCUGUUGGAUGGGAUAAAGAAAUUUUGGCUAGAAGUACUCACACCUGAGCAUUGUAAUAAUUAUAUAAAUCACCUGUAUAAAGUAUUACCUGUUAUAGUCGAAAGAAAUGGUCAAGCCACAAAU